UAGAUGGGCAGGGCCAUGACGCAACCAGCAGCCUAUCGGAGCCUGCCGAUGGGCGCGGCUACCCCUGGAGGAGGUGGGCCGGCCUGUGGUGCCGUGUGCACGGGGUGGGCGGGGCGAUCGGCCAGCCCGGGCAAGGAGAAGCAGUUGGCAAGGGAGCUGGUGGCAUCCUGGGCAGGAGAGCAGAGCUGUGCGCCAGGCGCCGCCGGCACAAAAUACCUUCUCUUGAGUAAAAUGUUCAUUGGAGGCCUGAGCUGGGAUACAAGCAAGAAAGACUUAACAGAAUACUUGUCUCGCUUUGGAGAGGUGGUAGACUGCACAAUUAAAACUGAUCCUGUCACGGGGAGGUCAAGAGGCUUUGGGUUUGUGCUUUUCAAAGAUGCUGCCAGUGUUGAAAAGGUCUUGGAACUGAAAGAACACAAGUUGGAUGGCAAGUUAAUAGAUCCCAAAAGGGCAAAAGCUCUGAAAGGGAAAGAGCCACCCAAAAAAGUGUUUGUUGGUGGACUUAGUCCAGAUACAUCAGAAGAGCAAAUAAAGGAAUAUUUUGGUGGCUUUGGAGAGAUUGAAAAUAUUGAGCUUCCCAUGGACACAAAGACAAAUGAGAGGAGGGGUUUCUGUUUCAUCACAUACACAGAUGAAGAACCAGUAAAGAAAUUGUUGGAAAGCAGAUACCAUCAGAUUGGUUCUGGCAAGUGUGAGAUUAAAGUAGCACAGCCCAAAGAUGUCUAUAGGCAGCAGCAGCAACAACAAAAGGGAGGCAGAGGUGCUUCAUCUGGUGGGCGUGGUGGUUCCAGGGGGCGUGGCAGGGGUCAGGGCCAGAACUGGAACCAAGGCUAUAACAACUAUUAUGAUCAAGGAUAUGGAAGUUACAACAGUCCUUACAGCGAUCAGAGCUACAGCAGCUAUGGCGGAUAUGAUUAUUCUGGGUACAACUACCCAAGUUAUGGGUAUGGACAAGGAUAUGCGGACUACAGUGGACAACAAAGUACAUAUGGAAAGGCAUCCCGAGGUGGCGGUAAUCACCAAAACAACUACCAGCCAUACUAAUGAAUUACUUGAAGAUAUAGCGGGAACUUCAUUGCAGGCCGUGUGUCACCCUGACCACGUCUAUCUCUGGGGGUCGCACGUUGCAGGCAGAGCGCAAGGCAUACACCAGAAAACGCUGUCCUGUGGUGGAGACUACAGCAAAGCCAUCUUGCAGAAUAUCGGGACUGACUGGAGGGUGGUCUUCGUGACAUGAGAUUAUUUUGUAAAAGACUUUUAGUGUAAGACACACAAGUGUCCAACUGUACAUAGUGGCCGACUAGUUUUUCUUUAUGGUUUUUACUUUUAUCCUUUUGUCAUCCGUGUUAUGACACCAAUGUGGUUCUUGUGUUUAUACAAUUUUUAUUUGUAUAAUUUUCAUGUUGAAUGACUCAAAUAAAAUGCUUACUUCUGUGA